GACGAACGCUGGCGGCGUGCUUAACACAUGCAAGUCGAACGCUGAAGCUUGGUGCUUGCACUGGGUGGAUGAGUGGCGAACGGGUGAGUAAUACGUGAGUAACCUGCCCUUGACUCUGGGAUAAGCCUGGGAAACUGGGUCUAAUACUGGAUACGACAUGUCACCGCAUGGUGGUGUGUGGAAAGGGUUUUACUGGUUUUGGAUGGGCUCACGGCCUAUCAGCUUGUUGGUGGGGUAAUGGCUCACCAAGGCGACGACGGGUAGCCGGCCUGAGAGGGUGACCGGCCACACUGGGACUGAGACACGGCGCAGACUCCUACGGGAGGCAGCAGUGGGGAAUAUUGCACAAUGGGCGGAAGCCUGAUGCAGCGACGCCGCGUGAGGGAUGACGGCCUUCGGGUUGUAAACCUCUUUCAGCACGGAAGAAGCGAAAGUGACGGUACGUGCAGAAGAAGCGCCGGCUAACUACGUG
rnacentral:rRNA from 1 species